ensembl:misc_RNA 7SK 7SK RNA
GGAUGUGAGGGCGAUCUGGCAACAACAUCUGUUGCCCCCUUGAUCGCCACGGUUGGUUCGGCUGAUCUGGCAGGCUAGGUGGGUGUCCUCCUCCCCAAAGCUGCCUCUUCAAUCCUAGAAGAUGACCUUCCCCAACAGAGGAAGACUGCUCAUGGGUCAAGGGUAUAUGAGUAGCUGCGCUCCUCUGCUAGAAUCUCCAAACAGGCUCUCAAAAGUUAAUCGAUCAUUCAUUCAUAAAAGGGAAAGACAACUGAUAAUUUGAAAAUGAAAACACAUUUGAAAACUAGCAACAUUCUUAUGUUUGUUU